rnacentral:rRNA from 1 species
UACGAGGGGUCCUAGCGUUGUUCGGAAUUACUGGGCGUAAAGCGCGUGUAGGCGGCUUUUUAAGUCGGACGUGAAAUCCCUGGGCUUAACCCAGGAACUGCGUCCGAUACUAUCAAGCUAGAGUGUCGGAGGGGGUGGCGGAAUUCCCGGUGUAGAGGUGAAAUUCGUAGAUAUCGGGGGGAAUACCAGUGGCGAAAGCGGCACCCUAGCGUUAGCCUGACGCUCAUGUGCGAAAGCGUGGGGAGCGAACGGG